UACAGAAGCCUCAAGCGUUGUUCGGAAUUACUGGGCGUAAAGGGAGUGUAGGUGGUGACGUAAGUCAGAUGUGAAAGCCCCGGGCUUAACCUGGGAAGUGCAUUUGAUACUGCGUUGCUAGAGUACGAGAGAGGAGAGCGGAAUUCCAGGUGUAGGGGUGAAAUCCGUAGAUAUCUGGAGGAAUACCAAUGGCGUAGGCAGCUCUCUGGCUCGCAACUGACACUGAGACUCGAAAGCGUGGGUAGCAAACAGG
rnacentral:rRNA from 1 species